rnacentral:misc_RNA from 1 species
GCCUGUUCGAGCGUCAUUUACACCACUCAAGCCUGGCUUGGUAUUGGAGUUCGCACACCAGCGGCUCUUAAACUCAGUGGCGGCGCCGGUUGGCUCUUCGCGUAGUAAUUCUCUCGCGAUAGGGUCCGUCGGUAGCUUGCCAGCAACCCCAAUUUUUUAAGGUUGACCUCGGAUCAGGUAGGGAUACCCGCUGAACUUAA